rnacentral:rRNA from 1 species
CUACGGGACGCAGCAGUGGGGAAUUUUGCGCAAUGGGCGAAAGCCUGACGCAGCAACGCCGCGUGAGCGAUGAAGGUUUUCGGAUCGUAAAGCUCUGUCAGAUGGGAAGAAGAACAUGACGGUACCAUCAGAGGAAGCCCCGGCUAACUCCGUGCCAGCAGCCGCGGUAAUACGGAGGGGGCGAGCGUUGUUCGGAAUUAUUGGGCGUAAAGCGUAUGUAGGUGGUUUGACAAGUCAGACGUGUAAGCCCACGGCUCAACCGUGGAAUUGCGUUUGAAACUAUCUAACUUGAGUGCAGAAGAGGAAAGCGGAAUUUCCAGUGUAGCGGUGAAAUGCGUUGAUAUUGGGAAGAACACCUGUGGCGAAGGCGGCUUUCUGGUCUGCUACUGACACUGAGAUACGAAAGCCAGGGGAGCAAACGGGAUUAGAUACCCCCGUAGUC